UGACACUCGGUUGCCUCUGGUAAUUGGAAGACUUCCCAUGCCUAAGGAAGCAUCCAUCAAUCAUAAGAGAAGAUUUAGCUGAAACAAGUCCCGGUGGUGUCUUGAAAAAUGGCGAUUACAUAUCCCCAGAAUACAAUUGAUCUACAGAUACAUCCUUCCUGUCUGGAACAUAACAACCAAGGGAAUUGCUAUAGGCUCCAGAUCAUUAUCCGAUCAUGCCCUGGAUCGGUGAAGAACGGCUUCUAUGAAUAGCCAGGACUUCAUCACUAAUGACAGACGGCAGCCAU